GAUGAACAACGUAGUGAAAUGCGAUAAGUAAUGUGAAUUGCAGAAUUCAGUGAAUCAUCGAAUCUUUGAACGCACCUUGCGCCUUUUGGUAUUCCGAAAGGCACACCUGUUUGAGCGUCAUGAAUACCUCAAUCUCCAUCUUUUCUUCGGAUUGAUGGGUGACUUGGAUGUUGAGCCCUGCUGGUAUGCUAUAUCAGCUGGCUUUAAACUUAUUAGCCGGCUCUGUACUGGAUCGGUUUGACUCGACGUGAUAAUAUUAUCGUUGAGGAUGCAUGUCUCAUGCAGCCGGAAAGUAUCAAAGCAGCUUCUAGCUUGCCUUUAGUGCACUUUUACAUUUUAGACCUCAGAUCAGGUGGGACUACCCGCUGAACUUAAGCAUAUCAAUAAGCGGAGGA
rnacentral:misc_RNA from 1 species